GUAGGUGCCAAGCGUUGUCCGGAAUUAUUGGGGCGUAAAGCGCGCGCAGGCGGUUCUUUAAGUCUGAUGUGAAAGCCCACGGCUCAACCGUGGAGGGUCAUUGGAAACUGGAGAACUUGAGUACAGAAGAGGAAAGCGGAAUUCCACGUGUAGCGGUGAAAUGCGUAGAGAUGUGGAGGAACACCAGUGGCGAAGGCGGCUUUCUGGUCUGUAACUGACGCUGAGGCGCGAAAGCGUGGGGAGCAAACAGGAUUAGAUACCCUGGUAGUCCACGCCGUAAACGAUGAGUGCUAAGUGUUAGGGGGUUUCCGCCCCUUAGUGCUGCAGCUAACGCAUUAAGCACUCCGCCUGGGGAGUACGGCCGCAAAGGCUG
rnacentral:rRNA from 1 species